rnacentral:rRNA from 1 species
GUUAUAUGGUCAAGUGAAGAAGCGCAUACGGUGGAUGCCUUGGCAGUCAGAGGCGAUGAAAGACGUGGUAGCCUGCGAUAAGCUUUGGGGAGUCGGCAAAACAG